rnacentral:rRNA from 1 species
UACGUAGGGUGCAAGCGUUGUCCGGAAUUAUUGGGCGUAAAGAGCUCGUAGGCGGUUUGUUGCGUCGGCUGUGAAAACCUGAGGCUCAACCUCAGGCCUGCAGUCGAUACGAGCAAACUAGAGUGUUGCAGGGGAGACUGGAAUUCCUGGUGUAGCGGUGAAAUGCGCAGAUAUCAGGAGGAACACCGGUGGCGAAGGCGGGUCUCUGGGCAUCUCCUGACGCUGAGGCGCGAAAGCGUGGGGAGCAAACGGG